rnacentral:rRNA from 1 species
CCUACGGGUGGCAGCAGUGGGGAAUAUUGGACAAUGGGCGAAAGCCUGAUCCAGCCAUGCCGCGUGUGUGAAGAAGGCCUUCGGGUUGUAAAGCACUUUCAGUGGGGAAGAAAGCCUUGGGGCUAAUACCCUCGAGGAAGGACAUCACCCACAGAAGAAGCACCGGCUAACUCCGUGCCAGCAGCCGCGGUAAUACGGAGGGUGCGAGCGUUAAUCGGAAUUACUGGGCGUAAAGCGCGCGUAGGCGGUCUGAUAAGCCGGUUGUGAAAGCCCCGGGCUCAACCUGGGAACGGCAUCCGGAACUGGCAGGCUAGAGUGCAGGAGAGGGAGGUGGAAUUCCCGGUGUAGCGGUGAAAUGCGUAGAGAUCGGGAGGAAUACCAGUGGCGAAGGCGGCCUCCUGGACCGACACUGACGCUGAGGCGCGAAAGCGUGGGUAGCAAACAGGAUUAGAUACCCCUGUAGUC